AGGUUGAACGCUGGCGGCAGGCUUAACACAUGCAAGUCGAGCGGGGGAAAUGUAGCUUGCUACAUUACCUAGCGGCGGACGGGUGAGUAAUGCUUAGGAAUCUGCCUAUUAGUGGGGGACAACAUUUCGAAAGGAAUGCUAAUACCGCAUACGCCCUACGGGGGAAAGCAGGGGAUCUUCGGACCUUGCGCUAAUAGAUGAGCCUAAGUCGGAUUAGCUAGUUGGUGGGGUAAAGGCCUACCAAGGCGACGAUCUGUAGCGGGUCUGAGAGGAUGAUCCGCCACACUGGGACUGAGACACGGCCCAGACUCCUACGGGAGGCAGCAGUGGGGAAUAGUUGA
rnacentral:rRNA from 1 species